GCCGUCUGCUCCAGUGUCUCCCGGCCGACAACAGAGCGCAGUCGACGGGGGUUUAGCUGUCAACCUGAGCCCCUCCGGCAGUCAUGGCGGCGCCGUUAGCCCACUUUGACGAGGACUGGCAGGAUUUUAACGAAUUCAAGCCGUCCUCCGACACUCCAGACCAGCUGGACCAGCUCAAUUCAAACGUGGGCGAUUCGUCGUCCGGCCUGGACGAUUUCUCCGACCUCGACAACAGCUUCUCCGGGGAGAUAUGCAGCUUCAAAUCGAUGGAGGACCUUGUCCACGACUUCGAUGAAAAGCUCACCGUGUGCUUCCGAAACUACAACACCACGACGGAAAACAUAGCCCCCAUUAAACCCAUCACGGAGGAUAAUUACUUAAAGAACGACGAGGUGUGGAACGCACUGACAGAUAAUUAUGGCAAUGUAAUGCCUGUGGACUGGAAGACAUCACACACUCGCUCCCUACACCUGCCCACCCUCAAUCUCUGCGAGCAUGAGAAGUUGGAUAACCAGUCUCUGGAUCUGUCAGACGAUGAGGAGCUAAGGGAGCAGAUGGAUAUGCACUCAAUCAUCAUCUCCUGUAUCAACGAUGAACCACUUUUCACCGCUGAGCAGGUGAUAGAGGAAAUUGAGGAGAUGAUGCAGGAGUCUCCAGACCCAGAGGAUGACGAGAGCCCCUCCCAGUCAGACCUGUCCAUGCUCUCUCAGGACCUCCAUGCACUGAAACGCUCCGGCUCCAACUCCAGCUAUGAGGACCGGCUGCGCCUGCUGUCUAUGUCUGAGCUGACUGAGGCUCUGGAGGAAGUGGAGACAGCCAUUCGCCGCUACAGUGAAGAACUGAUCCAGGCUCUGGCCCUACGUGACGAGCUGGACUACGAAAAGGAGGUGAAGAACAGCUUCAUUUCACUGCUGAUCGACGUGCAGAACAGACAGAAGGAGCACCGCGAGCUGCUGCGCAAGAAGAAGAAAAUCCGCAGCACAACCACAGCUGGCUCCAACGGCCAGAGGACAGCCUCCACACAUGUACCAGGCACGCUUCUCACUCUCGAGGGACUCUCCAAUGUCAUUCAAAAUGGCCUCCGUCAAACUUUUGGCAACACAGGAGGGGACAAACAGUAUCUGACCACAGUAAUCCCCUAUGAGAAGAAAGCAGGCUCCCCAUCUGUAGAAGAUCUCCAGAUUUUAACAAAGAUACUCCAUGCCAUGCGGGAUGACAGUGAGAAAGUACCCAGCCUGCUAACAGACUACAUUCUCAAAGUUCUUUGUCCCACAUAAACCCGAAGGCAGAGGCUCGUGUUUCCAGAACCUUCCAUUGGAACAUCACAUAUGUCGGGGUUCUGGGAUGCUGGAAGAGGCGAAACAGAUGAAGACGUGGCAGAGGAACUGGUACGUGACAGCAGCUGUGUGAACUGACCUUCAACAGGUCUUUCUGAGGUGAAAUGGCAGAGUCCUCAUGCAGGUCAUAGGUUCUUGUCUCAGGCUGAAGCCCCUCCUUUCCCAUCUGGACUUUUUAGCAGACAUAUCAGCGUAACCAACGCUUUAAAGAUAUAUAUUUAUAUAUAUAACAAAAUGAGCAACAAAAAGAGGCUGCCUUUGUAAAUGCCUGAAAUUUUGUACAUUAAACUCUUUGUUUUUAAUGCAAUAUAAUUCCCCCAUUUUGGGUUUUUAUGUUUACUGUUUCAUGUGGUACUGCAGUAUAUUAAUUUAUUAUGUAAAUGUUUUGUAACCAUAAUAUUGACUGUAGUGGUACAAGUGUUUUGUGCCCAAAUUGCAUUGCAUCUCAUUUCAAAUAAAUUAAUAUGUGAAGACA